rnacentral:lncRNA from 1 species
UCCAUUGUUUUAUACAGCAGCAAGGCUGAGGUAGACUUUGAAACACUAAGGCCUGAUCUCAGUCUGCAGAUCAGCCUAUCUCAGGAGGAGCCUAAACCCAGAGCACCACACAAUGGCUUCUCAAGACCUCCUGGCAAGGAUUCUGAUCCUGCCCCAUAUUGUCUGGCCUCAGCUAUUCUCUGAAACAAUGGAGCAAAGACUCCCCUCAAGGAUGCGUUUUUAAAAUAUACGUUUCUCCACGU